rnacentral:lncRNA from 1 species
GGCCGCCGCCGCCGCUCGGAGGUGGCUCCCUGCGCCCCCCAAAGAUGCCUUCUCAUCGCUUCGGGCUCCCUUAGGGACGUCGCUGUUUUCCCCUUCUAGACUAAAGGUUACUUUUCCAGGCGUGGAGGGUUUUUCUGUGUGUCCCCGAAGCCCGUUAAAGAUCGAGCAUGAAAUUGUUGAGGAAGAAAAUUAAUACAUCCUUGGACUCCUGAAGGAAGAGCUUUCCGGAUGGGACCACAUUCAAGGAAUUUCAUGUGCUUGGUGGAGAUGGAAAAAGAAGAAAAGCAAGUUGGUUUCCCAGGGAAAGAAGGCAGCACAUACUCAAUGGAACUUUAUUUCUGUGGAACCAUGUUUUGAGUGCUCCUCCUAGACAUCGUCCGUGAAUAUUCUAGAUAUCAGCAGAUUGAUAUGAUUGGAAACCUGGCUCAUCAAACAGUAUACACUGGGAGAAGCCUGCUUAGAAUAAGACAUUUUCUAUUGUUUCUGAAAGUCUGUGAGAAAACACUAUAGACAUCUACCUGUUUUUUUCUUAAUUUUGCAUCUGGAUUCAGCAAAGCCAGUCUUUGAAGUGAAUAGAACCAGAGCCUU